rnacentral:rRNA from 1 species
GAUGAACGCUGGCGGCGUGCCUAAUACAUGCAAGUCGAGCGACCGGACGAGAAGCUUGCUUCUCUGAUGUUAGCGGCGGACGGGCGAGUAACACGUGGAUAACCUACCUAUCAGACUGGGAUAACUUCGGGAACCCGUAGCUAAUACCGAAUAAUAUUUUGAACCGCAUGGUUCCCAAGUGAAAGACGGUCAUGCUGUCUCUUAUAGAUGGAUCCGCGCUGCAUUCGCUAGUUGGUAAGGUAACGGCAUACCAAGGCAACGAUGCAUAGCCGACCUGAGAGGGUGGUCGGCCACACUGGAACUGAGACACGGUCCAGACUCCUACGGGAGGCAGCAGUAGGGAAUCGUCCGCAAUGGGCGAAAGCCUGACGUAGCAACGCCGAGUGAGUGAUGAAGGUCUUCUGAUCGUAAAACUCUGUUAUUAGGGAAGAACAUAUGUGUAAGUAACCGUGCACAUCUUGACGGUACCGAAUCAGAAAGCCACGGCUAACUACGUG